GAUGAACGCUGGCGGCGUGCCUAAUACAUGCAAGUCGAGCGAACAGACGAGGAGCUUGCUCCUCUGACGUUAGCGGCGGACGGGUGAGUAACACGUGGAUAACCUACCUAUAAGACUGGGAUAACUUCGGGAAACCGGAGCUAAUACCGGAUAAUAUAUUGAACCGCAUGGUUCAAUAGUGAAAGACGGUUUUGCUGUCACCUAUAGAUGGAUCCGCGCCGCAUUAGCUAGUUGGUAAGGUAACGGCUUACCAAGGCAACGAUGCGUAGCCGACCUGAGAGGGUGAUCGGCCACACUGGAACUGAGACACGGUCCAGACUCCUACGAGAGGCAGCAGUAGGGAAUCUUCCGCCAUGGGCGAAAGCCUGACGGAGCAACGCCGCGUGAGUGAUGAAGGUCUUCGGAUCGUAAAACUCUGUUAUUAGGGAAGAACAAAUGUGUAAGUAACUAUGCACGUCUUGACGGUACCUAAUCAGAAAGCCACGGCUAACUACGUG
rnacentral:rRNA from 1 species